UUACUCAAAAUAGGUUGAAAACGGCCUUCACAUGCUCAACUAAGAUACAGAUGAUCCAAAAAUCUAAAAAAAAAAGUAUUUAUACAAGGUAGAAUUUUCUGGACAAAAAUACCCACGACGAAGGUACCACGACCGCAGUAAGGCUUUUUUGCUUAAUUUCUGAGUCUUUGAAUUUGGCCACGCGGACUGCAUAAACUACACUACGGUCGCGGUGGCUUCACUGCGGUCCGCACAAAAUGGACUGCAACCGUAGUGGCUACCAUCUUCCAAACUCCCAGCUCUCUGAAUCUCCUCUUCGCGGACAGCACAAAAUGGAUUGCGGCCGCGACGAAUCUACUGCGGACAGUAGUGCUUGAGCAUCCAAAAUUUUCAUCUCUCUGAUCUUUUUCACCACGGACCGCACCAAAUGGACUGCGGCCAUGGUAGGUCUGUUGCGGCUGCAAUGGAUUUUAUGCUACAACAGUGCCUUGACUUGUUCUUGGUACUUGUGUAGGUUUUACUCCUUUUUGAGCUGGUUUUGACUACUUGUCACUUCUUUGGC
rnacentral:lncRNA from 1 species